rnacentral:rRNA from 1 species
GACGGGGGCCCGCACAAGACGGUGGAGCAUGUGGUUUAAUUCGAAGCAACGCGAAGAACCUUACCAGGCCUUGACAUGCAGAGAACUUUCCAGAGAUGGAUUGGUGCCUUCGGGAACUCUGACACAGGUGCUGCAUGGCUGUCGUCAGCUCGUGCCGUGAGAUGUUGGGUUAAGUCCCGUAACGAGCGCAACCCUUGUCCUUAGUUACCAGCACGUUAUGGUGGGCACUCUAAGGAGACUGCCGGUGACAAACCGGAGGAAGGUGGGGAUGACGUCAAGUCAUCAUGGCCCUUACGGCCUGGGCUACACACGUGCUACAAUGGUCGGUACAAAGGGUUGCCAAGCCGCGAGGUGGAGCUAAUCCCAUAAAACCGAUCGUAGUCCGGAUCGCAGUCUGCAACUCGACUGCGUGAAGUCGGAAUCGCUAGUAAUCGUGAAUCAGAAUGUCACGGUGAAUACGUUCCCGGGCCUU